UAAAUUUCAUAAAAAUAAAUAAAUGAAUAAAUGAAUAAAUAAAUAAACAAUCAAACAAUCAAAUAG
rnacentral:rRNA from 14 species